rnacentral:rRNA from 1 species
GACGAACGCUGGCGGCGUGCUUAACACAUGCAAGUCGAACGGAAAGGCCCUGCUUUUGUGGGGUGCUCGAGUGGCGAACGGGUGAGUAACACGUGAGUAACCUGCCCUUGACUUUGGGAUAACUUCAGGAAACUGGGGCUAAUACCGGAUAGGAGCUCCUGCUGCAUGGUGGGGGUUGGAAAGUUUCGGCGGUUGGGGAUGGACUCGCGGCUUAUCAGCUUGUUGGUGGGGUAGUGGCUUACCAAGGCUUUGACGGGUAGCCGGCCUGAGAGGGUGACCGGCGACAUUGGGACUAAGAUACGGCGCAGACUCCUACGGGAGGCAGCAGUGGGGAAUAUUGCACAAUGGGCGGAAGCCUGAUGCAGCAACGCCGCGUGCGGGAUGACGGCCUUCGGGUUGUAAACCGCUUUCGCCUGUGACGAAGCGUGAGUGACGGUAAUGGGUAAAGAAGCACCGGCUAACUACGUG